UACAGAGGUCCCAAGCGUUGUUCGGAUUCACUGGGCGUAAAGGGUGCGUAGGCGGUCGGGUAAGUCUGAUGUGAAAUCUCACAGCUUAACUGUGAAACUGCAUUGGAUACUAUCCGGCUCGAGGAAUGGAGGGGAGACUGGAAUACUUGGUGUAGCAGUGAAAUGCGUUGAGAUCGGAAGGAACGCCCGUGGCGAAAGCGAGGUCCUGGACGUCUACUGACGCUGAGACGCGAAAGCUAGGGUAGCGAACGGG
rnacentral:rRNA from 1 species